rnacentral:rRNA from 1 species
UGGGGAAUAUUGCACAAUGGAGGAAACUCUGAUGCAGCGACGCCGCGUGAGGGAAGAAGGUUUUCGGAUUGUAAACCUCUGUCUUAGGGGACGAAGAAGUGACGGUACCCUAGGAGGAAGCCACGGCUAACUACGUGCCAGCAGCCGCGGUAAAACGUAGGUGGCAAGCGUUGUCCGGAAUUACUGGGUGUAAAGGGAGCGCAGGCGGAAAAGCAAGUCGGGAGUGAAAACUAUGGGCUCAACCCAUAGAUUGCUUUCGAAACUGUUUUUCUUGAGUGAUGGAGAGGCAGGCGGAAUUCCCGGUGUAGCGGUGGAAUGCGUAGAUAUCGGGAGGAACACCAGUGGCGAAGGCGGCCUGCUGGACAUUAACUGACGCUGAGGCUCGAAAGUGUGGGUAGCAAACA